GCUCUGAAGAGGAGAGCAGGAGCUGGGAUUGACGGCAACGGGGACUCGCUCCAGCUGGGGGAGGGGGCCUUCAGGAAGGGCUUCCUGGAGAAGGAGCGUUUGAGCUGAGCAGAAUGACAAGGAGGUACCAAGUGUGGAACAGUGUUCCAGGUAGGGGAAUAGCAUGGGCAAAUGUCCUGCGGAAGUAUGGAGCAUGGAAUGAUGAUGGCUGUGCUCCGGGGCCGGGGCACAUCCAGGACACAGACGUGAGCAACCUUGACCUUAGAGAGCAGCAAGGACAUGGUGAGGCAGCCCCAGAACUCCAAAGCAUAGCUUGCCUGACAGAUACUACAUAA
rnacentral:lncRNA from 10 species